GGCUCAGUGGUCUAGGGGUAUGAUUCCUGCUUUGGGUGCAGGAGGUCCCGGGUUCAAAUCGCGGCUGAGCCC
rnacentral:tRNA from 1 species